rnacentral:lncRNA from 1 species
CCGCAAUUCAUCUUUAGUUUUGAGCAAAUAUAACCAUGUCAUACGAGUACAAUCAUCCACAAAAGUCACAAACCAGCGAAUUCCAGACACAUUAGAAACUGGGGAAGGACCCCACGAAUUAUAGUGUACCAGAGCAAAAGGAACUUCACUCUUAUUCAAACUCAGCGGAUAGAAAGCUUGAUGACUUUUAGCUAGAAUACAAGACUCACAUUUAAAGUCAACCAUUUGAAGAUUGGAGAAUAACUUAAGAAGUAAGUGUCUCGUGUAGGUAAAUGAUGGGUGACCCAAUCAACAACGCCAAAGCAAAAUUUGCUGCUCUUUAUUACUAGUGAAAAGAUGUGUGAAAUGUGCUCGACCUAUGCUGAAGUCCUCCAUAUGGUAGAGUCCUCCCCUCUUAGUACCGCGCCCAAUGAUCUCCUUGGUGAGAAUAUCCUGUAUAAGACAAAAAUUCGAAUAAAAUAGUACUGUAAAAUUUAGAUCAAUGGUAAUCUGGCUUACAGAUAGUAGCUUAUACAAAAGAGAAGGCAUGAGUAGAGUAUUAUGCAGUUGAAGAGAAGGAGAUAAUUUUACUGUGCCGGCUCUUGUAACUAGAGAUGUCACGCAAUUGGUAUUGACAAUGUUGGAGCGUCGUGGUAAAGACGUUUGAGUGAAGUCUGUGGUAGUAAAAGUCAUAUGGUUGGUGGCACCAGAGUUAAGUAACCACGCACCACUCUCAACAUCUUGCUGGGUACUGUGGAGGGCAAUACCAAAAUUACUAAGAAGGGUAG